UUUCCGGUUGAUCCCGCCGGAGGUUACUGCUAUCGGUGUUCGCCUAAGCCAUGCGAGUCAUAUGUUCUUCGUGAACAUGGCGUACUGCUCAGUAACACGUGGAUAACCUGCCCUUGGGUCUGGGAUAACCCCGGGAAACUGGGGAUAAUACCGGAUAACGCAUAUAUGCUGGAAUGCUUUAUGCGUAAAAUGGAUUCGUCUGCCCAAGGAUGGGUCUGCGGCCUAUCAGGUAGUAGUGGGUGUAAUGUACCUACUAGCCUACAACGGGUACGGGUUGUGAGAGCAAGAGCCCGGAGAUGGAUUCUGAGACAUGAAUCCAGGCCCUACGGGGCGCAGCAGGCGCGAAAACUUUACAAUGCGGGAAACCGUGAUAAGGGGACACCGAGUGCCAGCAUCAUAUGCUGGCUGUCCAGAUGUGUAAAAUACAUCUGUUAGAAAGGGCCGGGCAAGACCGGUGCCAGCCGCCGCGGUAAUACCGGCGGCUCGAGUGGUGGCCACUUUUAUUGGGCUUAAAGCGUUCGUAGCUGGGUUAUUAAGUCCCUUGGGAAAUCCGGCGGCUUAACCGUCGGGCGUCUAAGAGAUACUGGUAAUCUUGGAACCGGGAGAGGUGAGGGGUACUUCGGGGGUAGGAGUGAAAUCCUGUAAUCCUCGAGGGACCACCUGUGGCGAAGGCGCCUCACCAGAACGGCUUCGACAGUGAGGGACGAAAGCUGGGGGAGCAAACCGGAUUAGAUACCCGGGUAGUCCCAGCCGUAAACGAUGUGCGUUAGGUGUGUCGGUGACCACGAGUCACCGAGGUGCCGAAGGGAAACCGUGAAACGUACCGCCUGGGAAGUACGGUCGCAAGGCUGAAACUUAAAGGAAUUGGCGGGGGAGCACCACAACAGGUGGAGCCUGCGGUUUAAUUGGAGUCAACGCCGG
rnacentral:rRNA from 1 species